rnacentral:tRNA from 1 species
GUAGACAUAGUUUUCACAUAAAACAUUAGAUUGUGAUUCUAAAGACAGGGGUUAAAAUCCCCUUGUCCACC